rnacentral:piRNA from 1 species
UAAGGGGACGUUAAAAUUGGAAUGUGACA